rnacentral:rRNA from 1 species
AGAACGAACGCUGGCGGCAUGCCUAACACAUGCAAGUCGAACGAAGCCUUCGGGCUUAGUGGCGCACGGGUGCGUAACGCGUGGGAAUCUGCCCUUGGGUUCGGAAUAACAGUUGAAAUGACUGCUAAUACCGAAUGAUGUCUUCGGACCAAAGAUUUAUCGCCUUUAGAUGGGCCCGCGUAAGAUUAGCUAGUUGGUGGGGUAAAGGCCUACCAAGGCGACGAUCUUUAGCUGGUCUGAGAGGAUGAUCAGCCACACUGGGACUGAGACGCGGCCCAGACUCCUACGGGAGGCAGCAGUGGGAAUAUUGGACAAUGGGGGCAACCCUGAUCCAGCAAUGCCGCGUGAGUGAUGAAGGCCUUCGGGUUGUAAAGCUCUUUUUGUCAGGGACGAUGAUGACGGUACCUGACGAAUAAGCUCCGGCUAACUUCGUG